rnacentral:lncRNA from 1 species
UCCAGUAUAAUAUAAGAACAACCCCAAAUUGUGACUUAAAAAAGGGAACAAUAAAAUAUAAUUAAUAAAUCCAUAUCAUUUUUAAAUUAAAAAAAACAAAACAAUGAUCAUCUUUCGAAGAAGCAACAUUAACAUCCUUUUCAAUAAGUAACUUUUUUGGGGUGAAAAAUAAACAUUAACCUGGUAAAAAAAAACUCUUUCGAAAGAAAUAGAAGACGCAUCAAAAUCAAUUAAUCAUUAUAAUUAUAUUAUCUCAUCCUAUAUGAUUAAAAUUGAA